rnacentral:sRNA from 1 species
CCCUAGCCCUGAUAGAAGUGAAAAUCCUUUUUGUUUUUCCUUUAAAAAUAAAAAAAUUGUAACGGAUAGCAGGAAAUAGU